rnacentral:rRNA from 1 species
AAUGAACGUUGGCGGCGUGGAUUAGGCAUGCAAGUCGAGCGAGAACCCCGCAAGGGGGGACAGCGGCGAAAGGGACAGUAAUGUGUAGAUUAUCUGCCCUCAGGAUCGGGAUAGCUGCGGGAAACUGCAGGUAAUACCGGAUAACGUCUUCGGACCAAAGGUGUGAUUCCGCCUGAGGAUGAGUCUGCAUCCUAUUAGCCUGUUGGUGGGGUAAUGGCCUACCAAAGCUAUGAUGGGUAGCGGGUGUGAGAGCACGACCCGCGUCAUUGGGACUGAGACACUGCCCAGACACCUACGGGUGGCUGCAGUCGAGAAUCUUCGGCAAUGGGCGCAAGCCUGACCGAGCGACGCCGCGUGUGGGAUGAAGGCCUUCGGGUUGUAAACCACUGUCGGAGGGGAGGAAAUAUGUGGGGGUUCUCCCCCAUGUUUGACCUAUCCUCGGAGGAAGGACGGGCUAAGUUCGUGCCAGCAGCCGCAGUAAAAC